UUAUAUGAAGCACUUUACAACAAUACUUGGCCACUAGUUAGCACCCAAUAAACAGCAUCUGCUAUUAUUGGCUUUUAAUAUACCUUCUCUGCCCAUGAGUAUAUAAACUCUGAGCACUAAGUUACUUUUGUGUUUUCUUCUGAUACUCUGUUACACGUCUAAUGAGGUUGAAAGGCAGUAUAAAUAAUUAUGUAGUAAUUGGAUAUAUUAACAGAAUCUCUAGAAAGUAAUAUCCUUUUAACAUCAGGAGAAGGAAACAGUGCUUCUUGUUAAGAGCACUAGAUUAUUUUGAGUAAUAUAAGCAUCUGCUAUUCAUUAUUAGUGAAAGUUUUGCUUUUUGAACCUAAGAAACAUCUCCUGAGCAUGUACUGCUAUAAUACAUGUAUAAGUAAGGAGUGUACUCAUGGAGUUCAGAGAUGGCUCCUUCAUGAGAACACAAGGAAUUUUGACUAAGUGACAGUUUUCCUUUGUUCCUCAUGCUUGCUGCUUUCUCUAGAUGCAGCAUCUCACACACCAGAUUGCUUUGUGGCAUGUCAUGCCAUGCAAAAGUGCACUUCCACUAUCAACUUUCCUAAUUGAGGUCAGAUGUGAGAUGCCUUGAUGUUUGCCUUGAAGGAAUUGUUUAAUUGGAACCCUACAGGCAGUGGUAUGGUCCAGUGGAAAAAGCAGGGAUUUCAAAUCACCUGCCUGGGUUCAAGUCACUCUUUACUAGCUGUGUGACCUUGAGCUUGUCAUCACACCUUUACCCUCUGAACCUCAGUUUCCUCAUCCAUAAAAUAAUAGCUCAGCGUUCAUUUUGUUUUUCAAAAGAUAAGAUGAGACAAAGUAUUUUUUCAAGUGCCAAACAAAUGUUAUGCCUUAUGCUUUUAAGUUAUGGUGAUGAUGAUGAUGAUGAUGUGAAGAAUAUGGGAUGCUUCUUCCUGAGCCUUGCUGGACCAUCAAGCCUGGAACUCCUGGCCUUCUUCCUGAGCCUUCCUGAGCCUCUUGUGCCUGCCAGUGAAUUCCCUCACAAUGAGCAACUCCAUCUUUUAAAAUAUACAUAUAUAUAUAUAUUUAAAAUACCAACAUGCAUUUCACAAAACAUUAAUUUCUCAAGAUGCUUUGUAAAUAAAAGAAUCUGUUUCCAGAUACAUCUGGAAAACCACCUGUAAGAUCUCGGGGCACAUUACAGCAUGAAAAGCUCGGAGACAUUCUUAGUAAAGAAGCCUUAUUUACAUUUGUCUAACCCAGCACUUCCCAAACUCACCAGUUACAGCACCUUUUUUCUUCACAUAACAUGUGCUAAUAUUCCAUUGAAACGGCAUACCAAGGAACACACUUUGGGAACUUGUCAUAGCAUAAGGGUAGAUGCAUUUUGCUUUUGGUUAAAGAUGACUGACCCACAAAAAAAUUAAUCACAAAUGAAAACCAACUUAAUACAAAUUAUUACUAAGUGCUGAAAUAUAACUUUUGCUGAGUAAUUUAUCAUCACCCAUCCCCCUCCCAUCCCCAACCCUUCCGAGUCUCCUAUGUCUAUCGUUCCACAGUCUGUGUCCAUAUGUACACACUAUUUACCUCCCACUUAUAAGUGAGAGCAAGCAUCUGACUUUCUAUUUCUGAAAGUUCUUUGCUGACUAAUCAAAGAGACCAAUUACUUAAAAGUAAUUUAUAUUACCUUUUAAAUACUUGUAAUAACAAACACCUUCAUAGCACUUCAUGGCACCAUAUACCAGAAACAGUUUUUAGAACUUUACAUAUAGCUGAUUGAAUUCUCACAGCAACCCAGGAAAAGGGAGGUAUUAUUUUCUCCAGUUUUAGAAAAGGAAGCCUAUGCAAAAGGAAGUAAGAGAUUUGCCCAAAGUUGUAUCUGAAUCUCUGCCAUUGGUUUGAUUCCAUGACACCCUCUUUCCCUCAAAGAAUAAUUUACAGUGUAUUCUUUUCUCAGUUAAAAUGAUACAAACAUUAAUAUACAGCAUACUUUUCUCAAUUAAGCUAAUUAAAAUAGUAAUUUGCAGAAUAUUUUCAUACUUUAAAUAAUUCAACUAGUUUUUAUUUUUACACGUCCAAGACAGCUCGAGAUAUAAAUGAGAUAAAUCUUAGGGUGUCCUAAAGCAAGCUGGAGAAUAUCACUCCCUGGACUUUGUACCAAGUUGCAUUUAGUGGAAGUGAAGCCUUGUUUCCUAGGUAGCCUGGAUGCUGAAAUAAUACUGCAACAGUUGGGGUAUAUGACUUCUUUGGAUUUGGUUUUCAAGUAUUUCAUAAUUUACUACUUUUUAUGUUCUUAGAUAUUUAUUAUAAAUAAAUCCAAAAUGAUUUUAAAUUAUUAAAGUUUAAAGUAUAUGCCUUUGGCACCACUAGAAAAAAAAACUUCAAAGUGUAGCAGAAAGUUCCAUGUGAGCCCCAAACUGGAAUUCACAGACUCUACAUCUUUGAAACUAGAGGGCUGCUAAUCCACUAAGUGAUCUGUUUGCCUGAACUGAUACACACUGGAGCUUUGGUUUUAAGUUGAAAAGUUGUUUGUUUGUUUUUUUUGUUUUUUUUUUUUUAUAUUUUUACCUUUUGACUCAGGAGCACAGGGCAGAAAGGAGGGAGAAAAGAAUUGAGGGAACAGAUUUUUUUCCCUUUUUUUUUGAAGUGUAUAAAUUUAAGGGGUACAACUGCAAUUCUGUUCCAUGGCUAUAUUGUGUAGUGGUGAAGUCUUGACUUUUAGUGUAUCCAUCACUCAAGUAAUGUACAUUGUACCCAGUGAGUAGUUUCUCAUCACCCAUCCCCGUUCUGUUCCCCUACUCUUCUGAGUCUCCUUGUCUAUCAUCCCACACCCUAUGUCCAUGUGUACACAUGAUUUAGCUCCCAUUUAUAAGUGAGAACAAGCAUCUGACUUUCUGUUUCUGAGUUGUUUCACUUAAAGAGAAUGGCCUCCAGUUCCAUCCUUAUUGCUGCAAAGACAUGAUUUCAUUUUUUAUGGAUGAAUAGUAUUUCAUUGUGUAUAUAUACCACAUUUUUUAAUUCAGUCAUCCAUUGAUGGACACUUAGGUUGAUUCCAUAUUUUUGCUAUUGUAAAUAGUACUAUGAUAAAUAUAUGUGUGCAGCUAUCCUUUUGAUAUAAUGAUUUCUUUUCCUGAAUAUAUACCUACUAGUGGGAUUGCUGGAUCAAAUGGUCAUUAUUUUUUAGUUCUUUGAGCAACCUCCAUAGAGUUUUCCAUAAUUGUACUAACUUAUAUUCCCACCAACAGCAUAUGAGUUCUCUUUUCUUUAUAUCCUCACCAACAUCUGUUAUUUUUUGACUUUUUAAUAAUAGCCAUUCUGACUAGUGUAAGAUGAUAUCUCAUUGUGGCUUCAAUUUGCAUUUCUUUGAUCAUUAGUAAUGUUGAGCGUUAUUUCAUAUGACUGUUGUGCAUUUGGAUGUCUUCUUUGAAAAAUGUUUAUUCAUGUCCUUUGCCCGCUUUUGAAUAGGGUUAUUUGUUUCUUGUUGUUGUUGAUUUGAGUUCCAUGUAAAUUCUGGAUAUUAGUUCCCUGUUGGAUGCAUAGUUUGCAAAUAUUUUAUCUUGAGAGGAUAGAUUUUUGAGUCACAUUAGAGAAAAGGCUUAGCACCAAAAGCUGAAGGAGUUAUUUAUAUGGGAGAUAAUUCUGGUAAAAAGUAACAACAAUAAUAAUGUUACAUCAGCACCCAGGUGACAGUAUGCUGCGGAGAACUGGGACAGGUUAAUUCUGUGCCACCACCCCAUGCCCCCCACACACAUGUGCAUACACACUGCCAAAUGGCACUCUGAGGGUACAUGGUGAUGACUGGGACUUAGCUAUAGAGGCAGUGCACAGGCCUUCAAGAUGAAGAUGUCAUUGACAAACAGCAUUGAACAUCAAUGAGGCAUUACCCAGGUGGGGCUGAGAACUUAGAAAGGGGACAAAGUCAUAUAGUCUGGCAGGAAGGGUUAAGAAUCAUUGGAAUUUAGGCAUUAAUGUGACCUCAUUUGUAGUCAAAGGCUAGUGGGGCCAGGUAACAUUCUAGUUAUAAGACAUGAAAGAAGUGAAACAUGUUUAGAUAUCAUUCCUGAAUUGUGUUACCCCAAAAUUAAUAUGUUGAAGCACUAACCCCCAAUGUAAUAGUAUUUGGAGUUGGGGCCUUUGGGAGAUAAUUAGGUUUAGAUGAGGCCAUGAGGCUGGGGUUUUUACAAUGGGACUAGUGCCCCUAUAAGAAGAGACACCAGAGAGCUAAUUCAUUCUCUCCCGGUGCCAUCUUUCUGUCCCUCUCCCUCUCUCUUCCUUUCCCUCUCUCUCUCCCUCUCUGCCCCAUGUGAGGACACAGUGAGGAGACAGCCAUCUGCAAGCUAGAAGGAGAUCCCUCACCAGAACCUGGCCAUGCUGGAACCUUCAUCUUGGACCUCCGGCCUCCAGACCUAUGAGAAAAUAAAUUUCUAUUGUUUCAACCACACAGUCUAUAGCAUUUUGUUAUGGCAGCCUGAGCUAAGACAAUUCCUACUUCAAAACUUUUAUAAAAUCUUAAUGUGUCUUUGUAAGUAGGCAUUUUUGUUGUAGAUAAGUGUUCUAGUUCCCAGCUUUUCGAAUGUAUUCUAUUUUACUUGCCAGUAAUUGAAGGAGCAAAAUUAAAAAUACAAAUUUUUGCCACUUAAAAAGCCCUAUUUUUAGAGCAAUAUAUAUUUUUCUAUUUUUCAAUGACUUUUCUUUUUCAAAUCCAUUAUAGAUGAUAAGUUGAAGAAAUAAGACAAGUUUCCAAAUAAAUGACAAAGAGCUUGGUAUUCCUGCAGGCAUCAGAAUCACCUGGAGGAGGAGAUGCUGCUGCUGGUGGUGGCCCAGAGACCACACAUUGAGAACCACUGCUCUAGAAGACCAUUUGUCUUUGCUGAUGGAGAAACCUGGCUCUAAUAGAAGGUCCUCUGUGGACAGUGAGCUGGACUGACCUCACAACCCUCCAGUAUGUGCAGUGGCUGAGAAUGACCCACUCCCAGCAACUUUCUGCAGCCAAGGGGUUAAUCCUCCCUGACCUGAAGCCUGACAUGCGGGCUUGUAUGUGUCCAGGAAGUCUAGUGAAUUCGACCAUGAAUCCAGACAUGGCCAGUGGCUAAAUCCUGUGGGAAGACACUGUGCUUCUCUCUGACCCAUGAACAUUCUGCUAGUCAAGCUCUCUGUCACAAAGACAACUUGAAGAGACAGUGUGGACCUCAAGAAGAUACCAUCGUCACUCUUACCAAUGCAACUGUGGUGAACAGGACCACUAUUAUUCCUUAGAUCAAAAGGACAGCACAUUCAACAGCGUCCUCAUGGCAUGCCAGCAAUUUGCA